rnacentral:rRNA from 1 species
GUAGUUAAUAGCUGCAUUUAGUUUGACGUUAGCGACAGAAGAAGCACCGGCUAACUCCGUGCCAGCAGCCGCGGUAAGUACGGAGGGUGCGAGCGUUAAAUCGGAAUUUACUGGGCGUAAAGCGCAUGCAGGUUGGUUUGUUAAGUCAGAUGUGAAAGCCCCGGGGCUCAAACCUCGGAAUAGCAUUUUGAAACUGGCAGACUAGAGUACUGUAGGAGGGGGUAGAAUUUCAGGGUGUAGCGGUGAAAUGCGUAGAGAUCUGAAGGAAUACCGGUGGCGAAGGCCGGCCCCCUGGACAGAUACUGACACUCAGAUGCGAAAGCGUGGGGAGCAAACAGGAUUAGAUACCCUGGUAG